AAACAAAGAAGUGAAAUAAAUAUGAAUUGAAAUAAGUAUGAAAGGUAGCAACAAAAAUAUAGACAAGGUAAAAGACACCACAAACAAUAGAGCUACUGAGUGUUCCCUAUGUGCUCCUUUUUUUAUCUCUUUUUUCUUUUACUAUUUUUUCAUUUUCUUUUUUUUGUCCAAAAUUUUUUUCUUUCUUUUGCUCUUGUGAUAUUUUUCCUCAGCAAGAAGCACACAAGGACAAACCACAAAAAAUUUGAGCUCAAUUGGAUAAAAGAUGUGGCCAAUAGAAAAUUAGAAUUAUGCUAAAAAAGCAUACCAAAUUUUGUGGCCCAAAAACUAGAUUUUCUGGAUCAAAUUUUGCAAAUAUAAUUCUUGCAAACCCAGAUUUCCCGGGAUAAAAUGGAUCCAAAAUUUUCUGGCGUUCUCCGUAGAUAUAAAAUUUGCCCUGUUUCGAGUUCGGAUGUAAAAGUUAUGACAUUUUUAAGAAAAAUGCUCGAAUCAGGGUUUUAAUGAACACAAGAUGGAAGGAUUGUGAUACGGGAUGAUGGCGGGUAGAUAGAUCAACACAAAGUAGAAAAGAACACAAUCUAAACC
rnacentral:lncRNA from 1 species